UACAGAGGGUGCGAGCGUUAAUCGGAAUUACUGGGCGUAAAGCGUGCGUAGACGGUUAUUUAAGUCGGGUGUGAAAGCCCCGGGCUCAACCUGGGAAUUGCAUUCGAGACUGAAUAGCUAGGGUACGGUAGAGGGAAGCGGAAUUUCCGGUGUAGCGGUGAAAUGCGCAGAUAUCAGGAGGAACACCAGCGGCGAAGGCGGCGCUCUGGGCCGGAACUGACGCUGAGGAGCGAAAGCGUGGGUAGCAAACAGG
rnacentral:rRNA from 1 species